rnacentral:rRNA from 1 species
GAUGAACGCUAGCGAUAGGCUUAACACAUGCAAGUCGAGGGGCAGCAUGGUCUUAGCUUGCUAAGACUGAUGGCGACCGGCGCACGGGUGCGUAACGCGUAUGCAACUUGCCUCACAGAGGGGGAUAACCCGUCGAAGGACGGACUAAUACCGCGUACGCUCUAUUUUGGGCAUCCAAGGUAGAGGAACUGAAAUUCGCUGUGAGAUAGGCAUGCGUCCCAUUAGCUAGUUGGUGAGGUAACGGCUCACCAAGGCGACGAUGGGUAGGGGAACUGAGAGGUUGAACCCCCACACUGGUACUGAGACACGGACCACACGCCUACGGGAGGCAGCAGUGAGGAAUAUUGGUCAAUGGGCGAGAGCCUGAACCAGCCAAGUCGCGUGAAGGAUGACUGUCUUAUGGAUUGUAAACUUCUUUUGUAGGGGAAUAAAGAGGGGCACGUGUGCCCCAGUGAAUGUACCCUACGAAUAAGCAUCGGCUAACUCCGUG